rnacentral:rRNA from 1 species
CCACAACAUGUUCAUUUUCUAGGUGAAAUUGUAACCUAUCAACCGCAGGCUCUCUGUACUGAAGAGGAAACUGAAAUAUGCGCCAUGCGGCUUCACAUCCAGAUAUGUACCGGGCAUCAAGCUGGAGGAUCUCUUUCCUUUUCCGCCUAGCUUCCUUUGCUGCUGCUCUAAUGAUGUCUGAUUGACUAUCAUUAGAUUCGAGUGUUGCUAGUUCGGAGGCUGCUUGCUCAGUGCGUGUUCGAUGCAUGUUGACUGCAGCUGGUGAAUCCUGAAAUAAAUGAGGCACCACAUUGUUCGCAAGGAUGCUGAAGGAGACAUGCAUAUAUUAUUUGUGGAAGGAGAUAAUGAACAUUGCCUGCAAGUACUGCCACACGACCUGUCUGCUCCUUGCUGCUGGCGAGAGGAGGGUAAUGUGUUGCCGGGAUGUGCACACUGUGUAAUUGGUGAUCUGAAUCUCAAGUUUAUCGGCUCUUUCUCUCUGUAAUUCAAGUUAAUACAAAGCAUGUGUACUGAGAUCGGAGAGUUAAUGCAUAUAUUAAUCAUUGCAAGGAUACAUGCAUGUAUUAUUUGUGGAAAGAGAUAAUGAACAUUACCUGCAAGUACUGCCACACAACCUGUCUGCUCCUUGUUGCUGGCGAGAGGACUAAUUAUCGCCUGUAUGUGAUGAAGGAUUAGAUCAGAGGCGAUGUCUUGCCUGGAUGUGCACGAAUUGAGUCGAUAUAGAAUUCUUAUUUGUAAAGAAGCGUAGGGCUAGAGUUUGUAGGUUAGAGUUUGUCAUCUGUACGUUCUAAACCUAUGCAAUACUUGAGCCGUUAUUAUUUUGUGUCACC